rnacentral:rRNA from 1 species
UACGUAGGGGGCUAGCGUUAUCCGGAAUUACUGGGCGUAAAGAGCUCGUAGGUGGUUUGUCGCGUUGUUCGUGAAAACUCACAGCUUAACUGUGGGCGUGCGGGCGAUACGGGCAGACUAGAGUACUGCAGGGGAGACUGGAAUUCCUGGUGUAGCGGUGGAAUGCGCAGAUAUCAGGAGGAACACCGGUGGCGAAGGCGGGUCUCUGGGCAGUAACUGACGCUGAGGAGCGAAAGCGUGGGGAGCGAACAGG